rnacentral:rRNA from 1 species
ACGAACGCUGGCGGCGUGCUUAACACGUGCAAGUCGAGCGGUAAGGCCCUUCGGGGUACACGAGCGGCGAACGGGUGAGUAACACGUGGGUGACCUGCCCUCAGCUCUGGGAUAAGCCCGGGAAACUGGGUCUAAUACCGGAUAUGACCUUGUGUCGCAUGGCACUGGGUGGAAAGUUUUUCGGCUGGGGAUGGGCCCGCGGCCUAUCAGCUUGUUGGUGGGGUGAUGGCCUACCAAGGCGACGACGGGUAGCCGGCCUGAGAGGGCGACCGGCCACACUGGGACUGAGACACGGCCCAGACUCCUACGGGAGGCAGCAGUGGGGAAUAUUGCGCAAUGGGCGAAAGCCUGACGCAGCGACGCCGCGUGGGGGAUGACGGCCUUCGGGUUGUAAACCUCUUUCGACCGGGACGAAGCGCAAGUGACGGUACCGGUAGAAGAAGCACCGGCCAACUACGU